GACGGAGGAUGCAAGCGUUAUCCGGAAUGAUUGGGCGUAAAGCGUCCGCAGGUGGCAGUUCAAGUCUGCUGUCAAAGACCGGGGCUUAACUUCGGAAAGGCAGUGGAAACUGAACAGCUAGAGUAUGGUAGGGGCAGAGGGAAUUCCUGGUGUAGCGGUGAAAUGCGUAGAGAUCAGGAAGAACAUCGGUGGCGAAGGCGGGUCUCUGGGCCGAUACUGACGCUGAGGAGCGAAAGCGUGGGGAGCGAACAGG
rnacentral:rRNA from 1 species